GUGUAACACGUCACUACCGCAGAAAAGGGAGGUUGUACCGUAAUGUAAAGGAAGGAAAAAACGUCCAUUAAACGUGUCAUGAUGGCUGGGAGCUGUCGUUUGCUUUGACAAGUGUAGCAUCGUUUGUAAGCAGGCCUGUUCACCUCCUGACAGGUGAUCCCUCCGGCGCCGCUACCGAGUCGAGUUUAGAAACAAAAGACAGGCACGCAAGAUCCUUUCCACACCAUGCGCGUCAUCCAUUCGCCAGUGUUAUGGCUUCUAUUAGCUGGAGUCAUACUUGUAGUUGUUGAAGCUCAAGGGGAGUGUAUAAAAUACCUCAGUAGCGCAGAGGGAUUAUUUAAGAAGCCAUUCUAUAUGAAGUCCCAUUAUCAAAAUUCUAUAAUCAGGAAUGUGACAUUGAUUGAGCGUCAUUCAUAUUACAAGUGUGAACCCGCUAAAGAAAAGUAUGGAAUCGGUCCUGACGGAACCGAAUGGUGGGUGUUCAGGGGUUGUGGCGGAGUGUUUGACAUUGAGGAAUGCUCUCAGGGAACCCCACUAGAAAUCAAAAUCAAAGAAGACAUACCCAUUAAACAGAGAGAGAUGGAGACGAAAACCAUGCAGGAAUUCGGAGUUACUCAGAAAUCAUCUCAGAAUCGUAAAAAGACUGUGAAUCAACACCCGUAAUGUUUUCACCUUUAACGAAUCAUGGUUCGCUAUGAAUCCCAGUCCUGACUCAUGAGGGAGAUCACCGCCUUCUGAUUUUUCGUGACGGAGAUUAAAAGUAUUUUAAAGAAUUUAUAUCAAAAUCUGAUAAUAAAGGGAAAGGUCUUUAGUGCU